UACGUAGGGGGCAAGCGUUGUCCGGAUUUAUUGGGCGUAAAGAGCGUGUAGGCGGCUUGGCAAGUCCGCUGUGAAAACUCGAGGCUCAACCUCGAGACGUCGGUGGAAACUGCCUCGCUAGAGUCCGGAAGAGGAGAGUGGAAUUCCUGGUGUAGCGGUGAAAUGCGCAGAUAUCAGGAAGAACACCCGUGGCGAAGGCGGCUCUCUGGUACGGAACUGACGCUGAGACGCGAAAGCGUGGGGAGCGAACAGG
rnacentral:rRNA from 1 species